UAAGGCCACCGCCCCCUCCUGGUGUC
rnacentral:piRNA from 1 species